UGCCAGCAGCCGCGGUAAUACGGAGGGGGCUAGCGUUAUUCGGAUUUAUUGGGCGUAAAGGGCGCGUAGGCGGCAAGAUAAGUCAAAGGUGAAAUCCCACGGCUCAACCGUGGAACUGCCUUUGAAACUGUCUAGCUAGAGUCCGGGAGAGGGUAGCGGAAUUCCCAGUGUAGCGGUGAAAUGCGUGGAUAUUGGGAGGAACACCAGUGGCGAAGGCGGCUACCUGGACCGGUACUGACGCUGAGGUGCGAAAGCGUGGGGAGCAAACAGGAUUAGAUA
rnacentral:rRNA from 1 species